rnacentral:rRNA from 1 species
AUUGAACGCUGGCGGCAUGCCUUACACAUGCAAGUCGAACGGUAACAGGUCUUCGGAUGCUGACGAGUGGCGAACGGGUGAGUAAUACAUCGGAACGUGCCUAGUAGUGGGGGAUAACUACUCGAAAGAGUGGCUAAUACCGCAUGAGAUCUACGGAUGAAAGCAGGGGAUCGCAAGACCCUGUGCUACUAGAGCGGCCGAUGGCAGAUUAGGUAGUUGGUGGGAUAAAAGCUUACCAAGCCGACGAUCUGUAGCUGGUCUGAGAGGACGGUCAGCCACACUGUGACUAAGGAACGGCCCAGACUCCAACGGGGAGCAGCAGUGGAGAAUUUUGGACGAUGGGCGAAAGCCUGAUCCGGCAAUGCCGCGUUAAGGAUGAAGGCCUUCGGGUUGUGAAGUGCUUUUGUACGGAACGAAAAGCCCCGGGUUAAUACCCUGGGGUCAUGACGGUACCGUAAGAAUAAGCACCGGCUAACUACGUGCCAGCCGCCGCAGUAA